ACCGAAUAGAUACCCGGGUAGUCCACGCCCUAAACGAUGCGAACUGGAUGUUGGGUACAUUACGGUACUCAGUGUCGAAAGCUAAACGCGUUAAGUUCGCCGCCUGGGGAGUACGGUCGCAAGACUGAAACUCAAAGGAAUUGACGGGGGCCCGGCACAAGCGGUGGAGUAUGUGGUUUAAGUUUACGAUGCAACGACGAAGAAACCUUACCCUUGGCCGUUGUACAUCUGUCGAAUCCUGCAGAGAUGCGGGAGUGCCGCAAGGAACGACAAGACAGGUGCUGCAUGGCUGUCGUCAGCUCGUGUCGUGAGAUGUUGGGUUAAGUCCCGCAACGAGCGCAACCCUUGUCCCUAGUUGCCAGCACGUAAUGGUGGGAACUCUAGGGAGACUGCCGGUGACAAACCGGAGGAAGGUGGGGAUGACGUCAAGUCCUCAU
rnacentral:rRNA from 1 species